rnacentral:rRNA from 1 species
GGAAGUAAAAGUCGUAACAAGGUUUCCGUAGGUGAACCUGCGGAAGGAUCAUUACCGAGUGCGGGCCCUCGCGGCCCAACCUCCCACCCUUGUCUCUAUACACCCGUUGCUUCGGCGGGCCCACCGGGGCCACCCGGUCGCCGGGGGACGUCGUCCCCGGGCCCGCGCCCGCCGAAGCGCCCUGUGAACCCUGAUGAAGAUGGGCUGUCUGAGUACUAUGAAAAUUGUCAAAACUUUCAACAAUGGAUCUCUUGGUUCCGGCAUCGAUGAAGAACGCAGCGAAAUGCGAUAAGUAAUGUGAAUUGCAGAAUUCCGUGAAUCAUCGAAUCUUUGAACGCACAUUGCGCCCCCUGGCAUUCCGGGGGGCAUGCCUGUCCGAGCGUCAUUUCUGCCCUCAAGCACGGCUUGUGUGUUGGGUGUGGUCCCCCCGGGGACCUGCCCGAAAGGCAGCGGCGACGUCCGUCGGGUCCUCGAGCGUAUGGGGCUUUGUCACUCGCUCGGGAAGGACCUGCGGGGGUUGGUCACCACCACAUUUUACCACGGUUGACCUCGGAUCAGGUAGGAGUUACCCGCUGAACUUAAGCAUAUCAAUAAGCGGAGGA